rnacentral:rRNA from 1 species
UACGGAGGGCGCUAGCGUUGUUCGGAAUUACUGGGCGUAAAGCGCGCGUAGGCGGCUUUGUAAGUUAGAGGUGAAAGCCCGGAGCUCAACUCCGGAACUGCCUUUAAGACUGCAUCGCUUGAAUCCAGGAGAGGUGAGUGGAAUUCCGAGUGUAGAGGUGAAAUUCGUAGAUAUUCGGAAGAACACCAGUGGCGAAGGCGGCUCACUGGACUGGUAUUGACGCUGAGACGCGAAAGCGUGGGGAGCAAACAGG